GACGAACGCUGGCGGCGUGCUUAACACAUGCAAGUCACGGGGGCCCGCAAGGGUAACCGGCGAACGGGUGCGUAACACGUGAGCAAGCUUCCGAUUAGUGGGGGAUAGCCGGCCUAACGGCCGGGUAAUACCGCAUACGAUCACCGGGCGGCAUCGUCUGGUGAGGAAACCUCCGGGGCUAAUCGAGGCGCUCGCGGCCUAUCAGCUAGUUGGCGGGGUAAUGGCCCACCAAGGCGAUGACGGGUAGCUGGUCUGAGAGGAUGGCCAGCCACAUUGGGACUGAGACACGGCCCAGACUCCUACGGGAGGCAGCAGUGGGGAAUAUUGCGCAAUGGACGAAAGUCUGACGCAGCGACGCCGCGUGUGGGAUGAAGCCUUUCGGGGCGUAAACCACUGUUGCCCGGGACGAAUCUCCCCUUUCGAGGGGAUUGACGGUACCGGGUGAGGAAGCACCGGCUAACUCUGUGCCAGCAGCCGCAGUAACAC
rnacentral:rRNA from 1 species